CACUGGGGAUAGAUAGACUGUUAGUUGAGCGCCUCUAAGCUAUGGUAGAGACGCAGCAAACGGCUCAGUAACACGUGGCUAACCCACCUUUAGGACGGGCACAACCCCGGGAAACUGGGGCUAAUGCCCGAUAGGCGAGGACGCCUGGAAUGACCCCUCGCCCAAAGGGUGCUGAAACCAUGCACACAGCAUCGCCUAAAGACGGGGCCGCGACCGAUCAGGCAGUUGGCGAGAUAAAGGCUCACCAAACCUAUAACCGGUACGGGCCGUGAGAGCGGGAGCCCGGAGAUGGGCACUGAGACAAGGACCCAGGCCCUACGGGGCGCAGCAGUCGCGAAAACUCCGCAAUGCACGAAAGUGUGACGGGGCUACCCCGAGUGCCGUCCGCUGAGGAUGGCUUUUCCUUGGUGUAACUAGCCGGGGGAAUAAGGAGAGGGCAAGACUGGUGUCAGCCGCCGCGGUAAUACCAGCUCCCUGAGUGGUAAGGACGAUUAUUGGGCUUAAAGCGUCCGUAGCCGGCUUAGCAAGUCUCCUGUUAAAUUCAGCGACUUAAUCGUUGAGCCGCGGGAGAUACUACUAGGCUAGGAGGCGGGAGAGGCCGACGGUAUUCUCGGGGUAGGGGUGAAAUCCUAUAAUCCCGGGAGGACCACCAGUGGCGAAGGCUGUCGGCUAGAACGCGCUCGACGGUGAGGGACGAAAGCUGGGGGAGCGAACCGGAUUAGAUACCCGGGUAGUCCCAGCUGUAAACGAUGCGGGCUAGUGUUGGGGUGGCUACGAGCCACUUCAGUGCCGCAGGGAAGCCAUUAAGCCCGCCGCCUGUGGAGUACGGCCGCAAGGCUGAAACUUAAAGGAAUUGGCGGGGGAGCACCACAAAGCGUGAAGCUUGCGGUUCAAUUGGAGUCAACGCCGGG
rnacentral:rRNA from 1 species